rnacentral:rRNA from 1 species
UUGGAGGUAGUGACAAUAAAUCACAAUGCGGGACUAUACGUCUUGCAAUUGGAUUGAGAACAAUGUACAACUCUUAUCGAUAAGCCAUUGGAGGGCAAGUCUGGUGCCAGCAGCCGCGGUAAUUCCAGCUCCAAUAGCGUAUAUUAACGUUGUUGCAGUUAAAAAGCUCGUAGUUGAAGUGUGGGUGAUCGCUAUUGUGAGACUUCGGUCUCUCGACAGUAAGUCACCCCCUUCCAGUAUCCAGUAGUGGGUAUUCACUUACUUACUAUUGUGUGUUGGUCCUUUACUGUGAGAAAAUUAGAGUGUUCAAAGCAGGCGUUUGCUUGAAUAGAUUAGCAUGGAAUAAUAAUUGAAGGCUUUCGUGUUCGAUUUGAUUGGUUUGUUCAUGGAAGCAAGGUUAAAAGGAACAGUUGGGGGUAUUCAUAUUCACUAGUUAGAGGUGAAAUUCUCGGAUUUAUGGAAGAUGAACAAGUGCGAAAGCAAA